UCAAAGCAAUGAAGAUGAUGCCUCCCCAGCUGUUGCCAUUGGCUGUGGGUUUCUUGUGAUGUCACAAAAGCACUUGGCAACUGAGUGGAUAUAAAGGCAGGCCAAGGGGAAAGCCCUUUUCUGUUUCCAGCAGGACACACAUGGAGAUGACAUUCAGCCGUUUACCUUCCCACUGGAGCGGUACCUAUUUAUCUACUUGCACUUUGACGUGCUUUCGACCUGCUAGGUUGGCAGGAGCAUGGACCGAGCAAUGGGAACUCACCCCGUCGUGGGGAUUCGAACCGCCAACCUUCUGAUCGGCAAGUCCUAGGCUCUGUGGUUUAACCCACAGCGCCACCAAUGUCCCAGUGAUGGGUUACAUGAUGGUUGAUACAGAGCCGUCUUUCCCAUUGGGCUUACUGGUGUGUUGCACCAGGGUGCCGGCCUCUCAGGGGCGUCCUAGCGAGUGGGGGAGCUGUGCGGCUUUGCUGGCGGCCUCCCCUUUCCCUCCUGCAUGCCUGCCAGCUGCGCCCCAUCAACCAUAUGGCUGGCAGGCGUGCAGCUUGCCUCCCAAGCCUCCGCAGGAGGAGAGCAAUUCCCGCAGAGGCUUGGGAAAAGGUCGACAACUCUGGGAAAUGGGGUGGGGAGGUGGGGCGCUGGAGGGAUCUUUGCACCACAGUGCCGGAUAUGCUUAAGACGGCCCUGAGACACUAAACUGAGGCUGAAUUCUGGUAUGAUGUAAGCCCUGUGUGAGUGAGUUGUUCCCUGUUGGUUGUUCUUGGCAGGGUUGCACUGUCUUGUGAAGGAGCAGGUAUGUAGCUUGGGAAAUCUCUUAGAUCCAUCACUGUCAACGGAGGCACAGGUGUCCUUAGUACUGCUGAAGAUUCCUUGCAGCUUCAUCUGCUACAGCUGUUCCUGGACAGAGGCAGUGGGGCAGCAAGUUGCUAACUUGUAGUCUGAACUGCUGGCAAUGUGCUCUACGCUGCGCUUGUCUUUCAUUGAUAAAUUGUAGCUAGUGCAGAAUGCACCAGCUGCCGGUACAUUCCUGAGCAAAGUUCAAGCGUAUAAAAUCCUAAAUGACCUAAAUUACCUUGUCCCUUAGGCAGAUCACUGUGAUUAUCUGGAGGAGUCAUCCUGAUUACCCAACACUGAUUACAUUUGUUUAGCUUCUUUCUACUCAAACUAAACCUUUGCUUUUGAUUUUGUUAUAUUAUUGUGUUAUAUUUUUAUUAACCAAUUUCCACAUAACAAUUUAUCAAUCUUCUUAACCAAUUACAUCAUUUCCCCCCCUUCCCCCCUCAACCCUCCCUCUCCCCCACCACAGACUUCCCUCAGCUCCCCUCCCUGAUUUCUUUACGUUUAUUGUUUUCUGCAUGUUAUAAAAUUGUACAUAUCCUUACUUUGUCUAUCAUAUGUUCAGCUAAUAAAUUUGUGAAUGUCUAGUUCAUUUUGUUGUCUUUUUAGAUAGCUUGUAAAAAGCUCCCAUUCUUCCUUGAAGUCACAGUUGUCCUUUUCACAUGGUUUAUAUGUCAAUUUGGCCAAUUCCGCAUAGC